rnacentral:rRNA from 1 species
UACGCAGGUGGCAAGCGUUAUCCGGAAUUAUUGGGCGUAAAGCGCGCGCAGGCGGUUUCUUAAGUCUGAUGUGAAAGCCCACGGCUCAACCGUGGAGGGUCAUUGGAAACUGGGGAACUUGAGUGCAGAAGAGAAAAGCGGAAUUCCACGUGUAGCGGUGAAAUGCGUAGAGAUGUGGAGGAACACCAGUGGCGAAGGCGGCUUUUUGGUCUGUAACUGACGCUGAGGCGCGAAAGCGUGGGGAGCAAACAGG